CCUUCACGGAAACACAGCUUGGAACAAAGUGGAGGCUCCGUUUCUUGACACUGCAUCGAGUCCAAUGAGCUAUAGAUGCUGAAUCCAAAGUACCACUGAACCGCUUUAAAAAGUGUCACUUGAUGUUGUAAACAAAUCUUAAUGUGUACCAAAAUUAUUUAUAUUCCUUCAACAAGGCCUUAUUUGUCACGUGCAAUUUCAGAGUUGCUACAUAUCAUAUCUCGAGUUUCCCUUGACAUGUCUGAGAGCAAAAAUGAGUGACAAAAUUAAACAAAAUUCGAACCGACAUAAAAGAAUCAUCGUAAAAAUCUGAAUGUCUCUCGUCACUAGUGCAAAAGAUUUCUUUGUGUGAAGUCGCAGUGAGCAGGUGAGUAGGAGGCGUGACUUGAUUGACAGCUGCAUUUCCAAAUGAUCGAUUGUACUCUUAUGCGUUCAGUCAGGGAUCCCUACGACAACUAUUUUUUUUUUCUGGUCGACACGUUGCUAAAGGGAAAUCAGAUAUCAGAAGUUAAAAGUGCAAUUACGUCUGUUGAGAAGUCAUGAUUGCUGGAACUUCAUCAUGAAUCAGUUAAUCCUCAAAAUCCUCAGCUAAGGCUAAUCGUGAAAUGGACAAAGCUGUGGGAUGGAGACAAUGCAUAACCAAUCUGCCUCAAUUGAAAAGUAAUCUGACUGACACCAGAAGAGGAAACAAUAAACAAAGAAUGAGCUGCCAUAUGUUUAACAGCUGUUCUUUAAUGUGCACAUUAUAUGCACAAAUUAGACAGCAGGGGGCGAUAAUAAGUGAAUGCAUAAUUAC
ensembl:lncRNA